CAAUAGCGUAUAUUAAAGUUGUUGCGGUUAAAAAGCUCGUAGUUGGAUUUCUGCUGAGAACGACCGGUCCGCCCUUUGGGUGUGUAUCUGGCUCUUUCUUGGCAUCUUCUUGGUGAACGUUGCUGCACUUGACUGUGUGGAGCGCUACCCAGGACUUUUACUUUGAGGAAAUUAGAGUGUUUCAAGCAGGCAUACGCCUUGAAUACAUUAGCAUGGAAUAAUAAGAUAGGACCUCGGUUCUAUUUUGUUGGUUUCUAGAGCUGAGGUAAUGAUUAAUAGGGACAGUCGGGGGCGUUCGUAUUUCAUUGUCAGAGGUGAAAUUCUUAGAUUUAUGAAAGACGAACUUCUGCGAAAGCAUUCGCCAAGGAUGUUUUCAUUGA
rnacentral:rRNA from 1 species